UUAAACACUGGGGUGUGCUGAAGUUGACAGCUGUACGGAGUUCUGAUUGUUUUCAUUAUUUUGUAAUGAAAAUAAUUACAGAAAAGAGCGUAUCGACCGUUUACGCAAAAAAUCACUCUCAAAGGUAAUAAGCUCACUCAUUUUGGGGAAUAUGAACCUGACCCCGGAGUGUCCCAACAGAGUUUGCCAGGCUCCAAGUUUUAACCUACAACAACCCGAUCCCUAGUCAUAAAGUGGAGAAGGAAAUAUAGGGGAAAAGUUUUCACCUAUACUUAUUUGUCACCCUGUACAUGUGCUAGAGGUGUCAUCGGAGAUUUUUUUUUUAGAAAUUCUUCGUUCAAUCAUAG